rnacentral:rRNA from 1 species
CGUAGGGUGCGAGCGUUAAUCGGAAUUACUGGGCGUAAAGCGUGCGCAGGCGGUUUUGUAAGACAGGCGUGAAAUCCCCGGGCUCAACCUGGGAACUGCGUUUGUGACUGCAAGGCUAGAGUAUGGCAGAGGGGGUGGAAUUCCACGUGUAGCAGUGAAAUGCGUAGAGAUGUGGAGGAACACCGAUGGCGAAGGCAGCCCCCUGGGCCAAUACUGACGCUCAUGCACGAAAGCGUGGGUAGCAAACAGGAUUAGAUACCCUGGUAGUCCACGCCCUAAACGAUGUCAACUAGGUGUUGGGUGGGUAAAACCAUUUAGUACCGGAGCUAACGCGUGAAGUUGACCGCCUGGGGAGUACGGCCGCAAAGGUUA